rnacentral:sRNA from 1 species
AGCACCAGCAGACCAAGUUUGCCAUAAGCUGACAAGUGUGGGCUUGGAAGGCAGAUGAGGUUCGGAUCCUGUGAGUCCUAGCUUUGGGACCAUAACCCUCCAGGCUCUGUUUUCUGCUGGCACAGUGCUUGACACAGAUCAGAUACAGAGUUUUGGGAUAAGAUGCAAGCAGAAUGGGAAGAAAUGGCUCGGAGGAACUGGAUAUCUGAGAACCAAGAAGCCCAGAACCAAGUAACCAUCUCGGCUAGUGAGAAGGGAUAUUACUUUCACACUGAAAACCCCUUCAAGGACUGGCCUGGAGCAUUUGAAGAAGGCUUAAAAAGGCUGAAGGAAGGGGAUCUGCCAGUCACCAUCCUGUUCAUGGAAGCAGCAAUUCUUCAGGACCCUGGAGAUGCAGAGGCAUGGCAGUUCCUCGGGAUAACCCAGGCGGAGAAUGAAAAUGAACAAGCAGCUAUUGUCGCCCUCCAGAGGUGCUUAGAAUUACAGCCCAACAACUUAAAAGCUUUGAUGGCCUUGGCUGUGAGUUAUACUAACACUGGCCAUCA